rnacentral:rRNA from 1 species
UACGUAGGUGGCGAGCGUUGUCCGGAUUUACUGGGCGUAAAGGGCAUGCAGGCGGUCCGACACGUUUUGUGUGACAGCGGGUGGCUUAACUACCCGAGGAUACGAAAGACGGUAGGACUUGAGGACUCGAGAGGGACACGGAAUUCCGGGUGGAGUGGUGAAAUGCGUAGAGAUCCGGAGGAACACCGAAGGCGAAGGCAGUGUCCUGGCGAGUGACUGACGCUGAGGUGCGAAAGCCAGGGGAGCGAACGGG